AUUGAACGCUGGCGGCAGGCCUAACACAUGCAAGUCGAACGAGUGGCGGACGGGUGAGUAAUGUCUGGGCACCUGCCUGAUGGAGGGGGAUAACUACUGGAACCGGUAGCUAAUACCGCAUACCAUCAGAUGUGCCCAUAUGGGAUUAGCUUGUCGGUGGGGUAACGGCUCACCAAGGCGCCGAUCCCUAGCUGGUCUGAGAGGAUGACCAGCCACACUGGAACUGAGACACGGUCCAGACUCCUACGGGAGGCAGCAGUGGGGAAUAUUGCACAAUGGGCGCAAGCCUGAUGCAGCCAUGCCGCGUGUAUGAAGAAGGCCUUCGGGUUGUAAAGUACUUUCAGUGGGGAGGCGUUACCCACAGAAGAAGCACCGGCUAACUCCGUGCCAGCAGCCGCGGUAAUAC
rnacentral:rRNA from 1 species